GCACGUAGUUAGCCGAGACUUAUUCCUGGGGUACCGUCCUUCCUCUUCCCCAGAAAGGCUUUACAACCCGAAGGCCUUCAUCGCCCACGCGGCGUUGCUGCGUCAGGCUUUCGCCCAUUGCGCAAGAUUCCUC
rnacentral:rRNA from 1 species